rnacentral:rRNA from 1 species
GUGGGGAAUAUUGGGCAAUGGGCGAAAGCCUGACCCAGCAACGCCGCGUGAAGGAAGAAGGUCUUCGGAUCGUAAACUUCUAUCCUUUGUGAAGAUAAUGACGGUAGCCGAGAAGGAAGCCCCGGCUAACUACGUGCCAGCAGCCGCGGUAAUACGUAGGGGGCAAGCGUUGUCCGGAAUGAUUGGGCGUAAAGGGCGCGUAGGCGGCCUGGUAAGUCUGGAGUGAAAGUCCUGCUUUUAAGGUGGGAAUUGCUUGGGAUACUGUCGGGCUUGAGUGCAGGAGAGGUAAGUGGAAGUCCCGGUGUAGCGGUGAAAUGCGUAGAGAUCGGGAGGAACACCAGUGGCGAAGGCGACUUACUGGACUGUAACUGACGCUGAGGCGCGAAAGUGUGGGGAGCAAACAGGAUUAGAUACCCUUGUAGUCC